rnacentral:rRNA from 1 species
AGUGAACGCUGGCGGUAGGCCUAACACAUGCAAGUCGAACGGCAGCACAGUAAGAGCUUGCUCUUACGGGUGGCGAGUGGCGGACGGGUGAGGAAUACAUCGGAAUCUACUUUUUCGUGGGGGAUAACGUAGGGAAACUUACGCUAAUACCGCAUACGACCUACGGGUGAAAGCAGGGGAUCUUCGGACCUUGCGCGAUUGAAUGAGCCGAUGUCGGAUUAGCUAGUUGGCGGGGUAAAGGCCCACCAAGGCGACGAUCCGUAGCUGGUCUGAGAGGAUGAUCAGCCACACUGGAACUGAGACACGGUCCAGACUCCUACGGGAAGCAGCAGUGGGGAAUAUUGGACGAUGGGCGCAAGCCUGAUCCAGCCAUACCGCGUGGGUGAAGAAGGCCUUCGGGUUGUAAAGCCCUUUUGUUGGGAAAGAAAAGCAGCAGGUUAAUACCCCGCUGUUCCGACGGUACCCAAAGAAUAAGCACCGGCUAACUUCGUG